AAAUUCUGAUUUUAGGAUGAAAAUAAAUGCUAAAGUAUUGUCUCAUCAAAAUGCCAUAGUAUAGAAUGUUAAAAAUGUUGUAUUUAGGCGCAACAAAACCCCCAGCAUAUUUCAGUCCGAAAAAAAAAUGACAUAGUAAAGUAUGACCAAAAUUUCAGAUUUAAGGGUGAAAAAAAAAUUCUGAUUUUCGGAUAAAGAUGAAUGCUAUAGUAUUGUCUCAUCAAAAUGCCAUAGUAUAGAAUGUUAAAAAUGUCAUAUUUAGGUGCAAUAAAACCCAACAUAUUUUAGUCCGAAAAAAAAAACGACAUACUAUACUAUGUCGUAAAUUUCAGAUUUUAGGGUGAAAAAAAAAAAUUUCUGAUUUUAGGAUGAAAAUAAAUGCUUAAGGUUGGAGCUAGGGUUAGGGUUAGGUGUGGGGUUGGAGCUAGGGUUAGGGUUAGGGUUAGGGUUGGAGUUAGGGUUAGUGUUGGAGCUAGGGUUAGGGUUGGGCUUGGAGCUAGGAUUUUUCUGAGUGCAAUGAACCAACUCCCGAGUCUCUAGGACGUUCCUAAAAAAAUUUGAUUUUUUCCCAUAGGAAUGCAUGGGUUAGGGUUAGGGUUAGGGUUGGAGCUAGGGUUAGGGUUAGGGUUAGGGUUGGAGUUAGGGUUAGUGUUGGAGCUAGGGUUAGGGUUGGGCUUGGAGCUAGGAUUUUUCUGAGUGCACUGAACCAACUCCCGAGUCUCUAGGACGUUCCUAAAAAAAUUUGAUUUCUUCCCAUAGGAAUGCAUGGGUUAGGGUUAGGGUUAGGGUUGGAGCUAGGGUUAGGGUUAGGGUUGGAGUUAGGGUUAGUGUUGGAGCUAGGGUUAGGGUUGGGCUUGGAGCUAGGAUUUUUCUGAGUGCACUGAACCAACUCCCGAGUCUCUAGGACGUUCCUAAAAAAAUUUGAUUUUUUCCCAUGGGAAUGCAUGGGUUAGGGUUAGGGUUAGGGUUGGAGCUAGGGUUAGGGUUAGGGUUAGGGUUGGAGUUAGGGUUAGUGUUGGAGCUAGGGUUAGGGUUGGGCUUGGAGCUAGGAUUUUUCUGAGUGCACUGAACCAACUCCCGAGUCUGUAGGAUGUUCCUAAAAAAAUUUGAUUUUUUCCCAUAGGAAUGCAUGGGUUAGGGUUAGGGUUAGGGUUGGAGCUAGGGUUAGGGUUAGGGUUAGGGUUGGAGUUAGGGUUAGUGUUGGAGCUAGGGUUAGGGUUGGGCUUGGAGCUAGGAUUUUUCUGAGUGCACUGAACCAACUCCAGAGUCUCUAGGACGUUCCUAAAAAAAUUUGAUUUUUUCCCAUAGGAAUGCAUGGGUUAGGGUUAGGGUUAGGGUUGGAGCUAGGGUUAGGGUUAGGGUUAGGGUUGGAGUUAGGGUUAGUGUUUUAGCUAGGGUUAGGGUUGGGCUUGGAGCUAGGAUUUUUCUGAGUGCAAUGAACCAACUCCCGAGUCUCUAGGACGUUCCUAAAAAAAUUUGAUUUUUUCCCAUGGGAAUGCAUGGGUUAGGGUUAGGGUUAGGGUUGGAGCUAGGGUUAGGGUUAGGGUUAGGGUUGGAGUUAGGGUUAGUGUUGGAGCUAGGGUUAGGGUUGGGCUUGGAGCUAGGAUUUUUCUGAGUGCACUGAACCAACUCCCGAGUCUCUAGGACGUUCCUAAAAAAAUUUGAUUUCUUCCCAUGCGAAUGCAUGGGUUAGGGUUAGGGUUAGGGUUGGAGCUAGGGUUAGGGUUAGGGUUGGAGUUAGGGUUAGUGUUGGAGCUAGGGUUAGGGUUGGGCUUGGAGCUAGGAUUUUUCUGAGUGCACUGAACCAACUCCCGAGUCUGUAGGAUGUUCCUAAAAAAAUUUGAUUUUUUCCCAUAGGAAUGCAUGGGUUAGGGUUAGGGUUAGGGUUGGAGCUAGGGUUAGGGUUAGGGUUAGGGUUGGAGUUAGGGUUAGUGUUGGAGCUAGGGUUAGGGUUGGGCUUGGAGCUAGGAUUUUUCUGAGUGCACUGAACCAACUCCCGAGUCUCUAGGACGUUCCUAAAAAAUUUGAUUUCUUCCCAUAGGAAUGCAUGGGUUAGGGUUAGGGUUAGGGUUGGAGCUAGGGUUAGGGUUAGGGUUAGGGUUGGAGUUAGGGUUGGGCUUGGAGCUAGGAUUUUUCUGAGUGCACUGAACCAACUCCCGAGUCUCUAGGACGUUCCUAAAAAAAUUUGAUUUUUUCCCAUAGGAAUGCAUGGGUUAGGGUUAGGGUUAGGGUUGGAGCUAGGGUUAGGGUUAGGGUUAGGGUUGGAGUUAGGGUUAGUGUUGGAGCUAGGGUUAGGGUUGGGCUUGGAGCUAGGAUUUUUCUGAGUGCACUGAACCAACUCCCGAGUCUCUAGGACGUUCCUAAAAAAAUUUGAUUUCUUCCCAUAGGAAUGCAUGGGUUAGGGUUAGGGUUAGGGUUGGAGCUAGGGUUAGGGUUAGGGUUAGGGUUGGAGUUAGGGUUAGUGUUGGAGCUAGGGUUAGGGUUGGGCUUGGAGCUAGGAUUUUUCUGAGUGCACUGAACCAACUCCCGAGUCUCUAGGACGUUCCUAAAAAAAUUUGAUUUUUUCCCAUAGGAAUGCAUGGGUUAGGGUUAGGGUUGGAGCUAGGGUUAGGGUUAGGGUUAGGGUUGGAGUUAGGGUUAGUGUUGGAGCUAGGGUUAGGGUUGGGCUUGGAGCUAGGAUUUUUCUGAGUGCACUGAACCAACUCCCGAGUCUCUAGGACGUUCCUAAAAAAAUUUGAUUUUUUCCCAUAGGAAUGCAUGGGUUAGGGUUAGGGUUAGGGUUGGAGCUAGGGUUAGGGUUAGGGUUAGGGUUGGAGUUAGGGUUUGUGUUGGAGCUAGGGUUAGGGUUGGGCUUGGAGCUAGGAUUUUUCUGAGUGCACUGAACCAACUCCCGAGUCUCUAGGACGUUCCUAAAAAAAUUUGAUUUCUUCCCAUAGGAAUGCAUGGGUUAGGGUUAGGGUUAGGGUUGGAGCUAGGGUUAGGGUUAGGGUUAGGGUUGGAGUUAGGGUUAGUGUUGGAGCUAGGGUUAGGGUUGGGCUUGGAGCUAGGAUUUUUCUGAGUGCACUGAACCAACUCCCGAGUCUCUAGGUCGUUCCUAAAAAAAUUUGAUUUCUUCCCAUAGGAAUGCAUGGGUUAGGGUUAGGGUUAGGGUUGGAGCUAGGGUUAGGGUUAGGGUUAGGGUUGGAGUUAGGGUUAGUGUUGGAGCUAGGGUUAGGGUUGGGCUUGGAGCUAGGAUUUUUCUGAGUGCACUGAACCAACUCCCGAGUCUGUAGGAUGUUCCUAAAAAAAUUUGAUUUUUUCCCAUAGGAAUGCAUGGGUUAGGGUUAGGGUUAGGGUUGGAGCUAGGGUUAGGGUUAGGGUUAGGGUUGGAGUUAGGGUUAGUGUUGGAGCUAGGGUUAGGGUUGGGCUUGGAGCUAGGAUUUUUCUGAGUGCACUGAACCAACUCCCGAGUCUCUAGGACGUUCCUAAAAAAAUUUGAUUUUUUCCCAUGGGAAUGCAUGGGUUAGGGUUAGGGUUAGGGUUGGAGCUAGGGUUAGGGUUAGGGUUAGGGUUGGAGUUAGGGUUAGUGUUUUAGCUAGGGUUAGGGUUGGGCUUGGAGCUAGGAUUUUUCUGAGUGCAAUGAACCAACUCCCGAGUCUCUAGGACGUUCCUAAAAAAAUUUGAUUUUUUCCCAUGGGAAUGCAUGGGUUAGGGUUAGGGUUAGGGUUGGAGCUAGGGUUAGGGUUAGGGUUAGGGUUGGAGUUAGGGUUAGUGUUGGAGCUAGGGUUAGGGUUGGGCUUGGAGCUAGGAUUUUUCUGAGUGCACUGAACCAACUCCCGAGUCUCUAGGACGUUCCUAAAAAAAUUUGAUUUCUUCCCAUAGGAAUGCAUGGGUUAGGGUUAGGGUUAGGGUUGGAGCUAGGGUUAGGGUUAGGGUUAGGGUUGGAGUUAGGGUUAGUGUUGGAGCUAGGGUUAGGGUUGGGCUUGGAGCUAGGAUUUUUCUGAGUGCACUGAACCAACUCCCGAGUCUCUAGGACGUUCCUAAAAAAAUUUGAUUUUUUCCCAUGGGAAUGCAUGGGUUAGGGUUAGGGUUAGGGUUGGAGCUAGGGUUAGGGUUAGGUGUGGGUAAGAGAUACAGUGAUAGCCCCCGCUUUCGUCUGUUGACUUGGCGGUUUGGGGUAGGCUAAUCAAGGGCUUGCACUGGCCGUCGCAUGUCGACCUGUCACAUGUUCCCAGUCGAGUCUCCGAGCCCAAUCUGUGAGUAAAAAACUAUGUGUGGGUAGGAAGUUUAAUUACUCAGCUCAGUUGGUAUGCUAUGCUGUCUAUCUUUUAGACUAUGUGUUUGUAGAGCCAUUAUUUUUUGAGGUUCAGUUAGGAGUUAGAGUUGGUAUGGUUACCAGUUAAAACAAUAAUAAUAAUAAUAAUAAUAAUAAUAAUAAUAAUAAUAAUAAUAAUGGUAAUAACAAUAAUUAUACUAAUAAUAAUAAUAAUAAAAGUAAUAAUUGUGUUUAUUGAGAAGGACUAGGUGAUAUUAGUAGGGAGGGAAAAGGGUGAAAUUUACCUAAGAGAGUAGGGUUAGGAUGCGUUAGUACAAAGUCUCAGAGGAUGGGGAGAGGGAGAAACAGGUGGUCUGGAUUAAAACCAUUCUGUUUCUACAGGGAUUCGAGUGAUAGAGAGAGAAUAGAACUUGCCACAGUGACUAGCCAGAGAAACUCUCCUCACCUGUUGCUUUUCAACCUCUGAUACGAAAAAGGAGGGUGGGGUGAUUAAGUUAAGAUAGAGGUUAGUAAGGUUAGGGUUGGGGUUAGAUUUAGGGUUUAGGGGUUAGGGGUUAGGGUUAGGGUUAGGGUUAGGGUAAGGGUUAGGGUUAGGGUUAGGGUUAGGGUUAGAUUUAGGGUCUAGAGGUUAGGGUUAGGGUUAGGGUCAGGGUAAGGGUUAGAUUUAGGGUUUUAGGGGUUAGGGUUAGGGUUAGGGUUAGGGUUAGGGGUUAGGGUUAGGGUUAGGGUUAGGGUUAGGGUUAGAUUUAGGGUUAGGGUUAGGGUUAGGGUUAGGGGGUUAGGGUUAGGUGUGGGUAAGAGAUACAGUGAUAGCCCCCGCUUUCGUCUGUUGACUUGGCGGUUUGGGGUAGGCUAAUCAAGGGCUUGCACUGGCCGUCGCAUGUCGACCUGUCACAUGUUCCCAGUCGAGUCUCCGAGCCCAAUCUGUGAGUAAAAAACUAUGUGUGGGUAGGAAGUUUAAUUACUCAGCUCAGUUGGUAUGCUAUGCUGUCUAUCUUUUAGACUAUGUGUUUGUAGAGCCAUUAUUUUUUGAGGUUCAGUUAGGAGUUAGAGUUGGUAUGGUUACCAGUUAAAACAAUAAUAAUAAUAAUAAUAAUAAUAAUAAUAAUAAUAAUGGUAAUAACAAUAAUUAUACUAAUAAUAAUAAUAAUAAUAAAAGUAAUAAUUGUGUUUAUUGAGAAGGACUAGGUGAUAUUAGUAGGGAGGGAAAAGGGUGAAAUUUACCUAAGAGAGUAGGGUUAGGAUGCGUUAGUACAAAGUCUCAGAGGAUGGGGAGAGGGAGAAACAGGUGGUCUGGAUUAAAACCAUUCUGUUUCUACAGGGAUUCGAGUGAUAGAGAAAGAAUAGAACUUGCCACAGUGACUAGCCAGAGAAACUCUCCUCACCUGUUGCUUUUCAACCUCUGAUACGAAAAAGGAGGGUGGGGUGAUUAAGUUAAGAUAGAGGUUAGUAAGGUUAGGGUUGGGGUUAGAUUUUAGGGUUUAGGGGUUAGGGGUUAGGGUUAGGGUUAGGGUUAGGGUUAGGGUAAGGGUUAGGGUUAGGGUUAGGGUUAGAUUUAGGGUCUAGAGGUUAGGGUUAGGGUUAGGGUCAGGGUAAGGGUUAGAUUUAGGGUUUUAGGGGUUAGGGUUAGGGUUAGGGUUAGGGUUAGGGUUAGGGUUAGGGUUAGGGUUAGGGUUAGGGUUAGGGUUAGCGUUAGGGCUAGGGUUAGGGUUAGGGUUAGGGGUUAGGGUUAGGUGUGGGUAAGAUACAGUGAUAGCCCCCGCUUUCGUCUGUUGACUUGGCGGUUUGGGGUAGGCUAAUCAAGGGCUUGCACUGGCCGUCGCAUGUCGACCUGUCACAUGUUCCCAGUCGAGUCUCCGAGCCCAAUCUGUGAGUAAAAAACUAUGUGUGGGUAGGAAGUUUAAUUACUCAGCUCAGUUGGUAUGCUAUGCUGUCUAUCUUUUAGACUAUGUGUUUGUAGAGCCAUUAUUUUUUGAGGUUCAGUUAGGAGUUAGAGUUGGUAUGGUUACCAGUUAAAACAAUAAUAAUAAUAAUAAUAAUAAUAAUAAUAAUAAUAAUGGUAAUAACAAUAAUUAUACUAAUAAUAAUAAUAAUAAUAAAAGUAAUAAUUUUAUUUAUUGAGAAGGACUAGGUGAUAUUAGUAGGGAGGGAAAAGGGUGAAAUUUACCUAAGAGAGUAGGGUUAGGAUGCGUUAGUACAAAGUCUCAGAGGAUGGGGAGAGGGAGAAACAGGUGGUCUGGAUUAAAACCAUUCUGUUUCUACAGGGAUUCGAGUGAUAGAGAAAGAAUAGAACUUGCCACAGUGACUAGCCAGAGAAACUCUCCUCACCUGUUGCUUUUCAUCCUCUGAUACGAAAAAGGAGGGUGGGGUGAUUAAGUUAAGAUAGAGGUUAGUAAGGUUAGGGUUGGGGUUAGAUUUAGGGUUUAGGGGUUAGGGGUUAGGGUUAGGGUUAGGGUUAGGGUAAGGGUUAGGGUUAGGGUUAGGGUUAGGGUUAGAUUUAGGGUCUAGAGGUUAGGGUUAGGGUUAGGGUCAGGGUAAGGGUUAGAUUUAGGGUUUUAGGGGUUAGGGUUAGGGUUAGGGUUAGGGUUAGGGUUAGAUUUAGGAUCUAGAGGUUAGGGUUAGGGUAAGGGUUAGGGUUAGGGUUAGGGUUAGAUUUAGGGUUUAGGGUUAGAUUUAGGGUUAAGAGGGUUAGGGUUGGAUUUAGGUUCUAGAGGUUAGGGUUAGGGUGAGGGUGAUGUUUAUGGUUAGUGCCUGAAGAGAGCUAACCAUGGCUAUUUAAAAGAAUUAAAAUUCAAAGAAUACGACACUUCAGAUUGUCUAGACUCUGGACUCUGCUAAAGGUAGCAAAGCUAUGGUUGAAAGUACUGAAAAUGCAGUAUAAAAUAUAUAAGGUUAGUUACUAAUUCUUAUUGAUAAAUUUUAGUUCAGAGUCAAAAGUGGAUGGUCCCGUGUAGAACCUUCUGUUCCACUCAGGCCUGUGUAGGCCAAAGACCCUGCUAAGGUCCCUCAAGGCUGUGACCUAAAAUUAUUUUUGAUUAAAUUGGAAAUCUAAAUUAUUACUUUUUAAUAAAUUUUAAUUCAGAGUCAAAAGUGGAUGGUCCCGUGUAGAACCUUCUGUUCCACUCAGGCCUGUCUAGGCCAAAGACCCUGCUAAGCUUCCCUUAAGGCUGUGACCUAAAAUAAUUUUUGAAUUGGAAAUAUUUAUAAAUUAUUCUUUUAAAUAAUUUUUUAAUUCAGAGUCAAAAGUGGAUGGUCCCGUUUAGAACCUUCUUCCACUCAGACCUGUCUAGGUCAAAGACUCUGCUAAGAUUCCUCAAGGUUGUGGACUAAGAUAAUUUUGAGUUGGAAGUAUUUAUAAAUUAUUCCUUUUAAUAAAUUUUUAAUUAAUUUUUUAAUUAAUUUUUUAAUUCAGAGUCAAAAGUGGAUGGUCCCGUAUAGAACCUUCUGUUCCACUCAGGCCUGUGUAGGCUAGAGACCCUGCUAAGCUUCCUCAAGGCUGUGACCUACAAUAAUUUUAGAUUGAAUUGGGUGUAAUAAUAAAUUAUUCCUUUUUAAUAUAUUUUUUAUUCAGAGUCAAAAGUGGAUGGUCCUGUGUAGAACCUUCUGUUCCACUCAGGCCUGUGUAGGCCAGAGACCCUGCUAAGCUUCCUCAAGGCUGUGACCUAAAAUAAUUUUUAGAUUGAAUUGGGUAUAUUAAUCAAUUAUUCCUUUUUAAUAAAUUUUUAAUUCAGAGUCAAAAGUGGAUGGUCCCGUGUAGAACCUUCUGUUCCACUCAGGCCUGUGUAGGCCAAAGACCCUGCUAAGCUCCCUCAAGACUGUGACCUAAAAUAAUUUUAGAUUGAAUUGGGUAUAUUUAAAAAAUUAUUCCUUUUUAAUAUAUAUUUUUUUAUUUAUUUCAGAGUCAAAAGUGGAUGGUCCCGUGUAGAACCUUCUGUUCCACUCAGACCUGUCUAGGUCAAAGACUCUGCUAAGCUCCCUCAAGGCUGUGACCUAAAAUAAUUUUUGAAUUGGAAAUAUUUAUAAAUUAUUCUUUUAAAUAAAUUUUUAAUUUUUUUAAUUCAGAGUCAAAAGUGGAUGGUCCCGUGUAGAACCUUCUGUUCCACUCAGGCCUGUCUAGGCCAAAGACCCUGCUAAGCUUCCCUUAAGGCUGUGACCUAAAUUAAUUUUUUGAAUUAGAAAUAUUUAUAAAUUAUUAUUUUGAAUAAUUUUUAAUUUAGAGUCAAAAGUGGAUGGUCCCGUGUAGAACCUUCUGUUCCACUCUGACCUGUCUAGGUCAAAGACUCUGCUAAGCUCCCUCAAGGCUGUGAACUAAAAUAAUUUUUAAUUCGAAGUAUUCCUAAAUUAUUCCUUUUAAUAAAUCUUUAAUUCAGAGUCAAAAGUGGAUGGUCCCGUGUAGAACCUUCUGUUCCACUCAGGCCCGUCUAGGCCCAAGACCCUGCUAAGCUUCCUCAAGGCUGUGAUCUACAAUAAUUUUAGAUUGAAUGGGGUAUGUUUAAAAAUUAUUAUUUUUUUCACAAUUUUUUAAUUUAGAGUCAAAAGUGGAUGGUCCUGUGUAGAACCUUCUGUUCCACUCAGGCCUGUUUAGGCCAAAGACCCUGAUAAGGUCCCUCAAGGCUGUGACCUAAAAUUAUUUUGGAUUGAACUGGGUAUAUUUAUAAAUUAUUAUAUUUUAAUAAAUUUUUAAUUCAGAGUCACAAGUGGAUGGUCCCAUGUAGAACCUUCUGUUCCACUCAGGCCUGUGUAGGCCCAAGACCCCGCUAAUCUCCCUAACGCUGUGACCUAAAAUCAACUUAAGUUAAAUCAGAGGUGUUAUUUAUAAAUUAUUUGAAAAUAUUACUGCAGAGUUAAGUGUUAAUGUUAUCAAUAAUUUUAUUAAUUUAAUUUUAUUAAUUUUUGAUUAAUUAAUAGAAUUAUUGGUCCAGAGUAUCGACUUUUCAGAAGGUUGUAUUGUUGUAGAUGGAUAAGUUUGAAAUUAAUUGGAGAUUUUUUUUAUGAAUUAUCUAAGAGCUAGGUAUAACUGUAAAUUAUUAUUUCAGGGUUAAGCAAUUAGAUAGGAAUUGUAGUUUAGGUAUCGGACUAUUCUACAGGUACAUUACAUGAUUAAAGCAAUUUUGAGUUAGAUAAGUAAGGUUAGCUCCCCAAUUUAUUGCCUACGGGUUUAAAUUGGAAUGUUGUAUGAAAUUGUGUCAUCAGUGUGUACGUUGUUUAUUUUGUUAAAAAGUACAAGCAGGAACUGUUAAAGUUACAUCUAACAUUGGAUUAAUAUUCUAGUAAAAUUGAGUAUAAAUUGUAACUUUGAUUGCAGUGGAACCAAAUUUUUUUAUAUUUAAUUCACAAUUUUAAGAAUAAAAGAAUUAAAAAAAUAAUAAAAAUGGCGAUCUAAGUGCACCUACUUGAAUUAAAAAGCAAAUUAGAAUGAAAAACAGAAGAAAAAAUUUAGUGUAUAGUUGUUCCAAAACAUUUUUAAUUUGUUCAAAAUGGGAGGUACAAUAUACAGGUAGGGGAAAUUAAUAGGAAAAAUAAAAAUAAAAAGUAAAAUUGCCCAAUAAAAUUAAUAAAUUAUAAGGUCUGGGAUAAACAGUGGAAUGUACAAAGUUUAUCAAAUUGGAAAGUGGGGAAUACUGGAGUGGCAAAAAACGAAAGGUGAAAUAAAAUCUGUCAAAAACUGGACCCAGUGAUCAAAAGGUGGAAAAUACGAGUUUGGUAAAUGGUUAAGUACUGAAAUGCUAUGUUAGAAUAGAAAUUAAGGUAAACCAAAAGGAGGUGCGGGUUUUAUGGACCUUUAUUCAUGCACCCAGAUAAAUCGACACUCAAAAUAGAAGACAAGAGGACCAGAUUGUGUUUAGGUAAGUGAUUCUUGAAUUAUUUUAAGACCUAUCUGGUUUUUUUUUUUUUUUUUUUUUUUUUUUUUUAAAGUUUUUGAAUAGACCUUUACAUUGACCCAGCGCUGGUUUUAGACAUUAAAUUUCAGGACACGUCCUCAGUAGUGGACCUUUAGGGUUAGGGUUGGAGUUAGGGUUAGUGUUGGAGCUAGGGUUAGGGUUUGGCUUGGAGCUAGGAUUUUUCUGAGUGCACUGAACCAACUCCCGAGUCUCUAGGACGUUCCUAAAAAAAUUUGAUUUCUUCCCAUAGGAAUGCAUGGGUUAGGGUUAGGGUUAGGGUUGGAGCUAGGGUUAGGGUUAGGGUUAGGGUUGGAGUUAGGGUUUGUGUUGGAGCUAGGGUUAGGGUUGGGCUUGGAGCUAGGAUUUUUCUGAGUGCACUGAACCAACUCCCGAGUCUCUAGGACGUUCCUAAAAAAAUUUGAUUUCUUCCCAUAGGAAUGCAUGGGUUAGGGUUAGGGUUAGGGUUGGAGCUAGGGUUAGGGUUAGGGUUAGGGUUGGAGUUAGGGUUAGUGUUGGAGCUAGGGUUAGGGUUGGGCUUGGAGCUAGGAUUUUUCUGAGUGCACUGAACCAACUCCCGAGUCUCUAGGACGUUCCUAAAAAAAUUUGAUUUUUUCCCAUAGGAAUGCAUGGGUUAGGGUUAGGGUUAGGGUUGGAGCUAGGGUUAGGGUUAGGGUUAGGGUUGGAGUUAGGGUUAGUGUUGGAGCUAGGGUUAGGGUUGGGCUUGGAGCUAGGAUUUUUCUGAGUGCACUGAACCAACUCCCGAGUCUCUAGGACGUUCCUAAAAAAAUUUGAUUUUUCCCAUAGGAAUGCAUGGGUUAGGGUUAGGGUUAGGGUUGGAGCUAGGGUUAGGGUUAGGGUUAGGGUUGGAGUUAGGGUUAGUGUUGGAGCUAGGGUUAGGGUUGGGCUUGGAGCUAGGAUUUUUCUGAGUGCACUGAACCAACUCCCGAGUCUGUAGGAUGUUCCUAAAAAAAUUUGAUUUCUUCCCAUAGGAAUGCAUGGGUUAGGGUUAGGGUUAGGGUUGGAGCUAGGGUUAGGGUUAGGGUUAGGGUUGGAGUUAGGGUUAGUGUUGGAGCUAGGGUUAGGGUUGGGCUUGGAGCUAGGAUUUUUCUGAGUGCACUGAACCAACUCCCGAGUCUCUAGGACGUUCCUAAAAAAAUUUGAUUUUUUCCCAUAGGAAUGCAUGGGUUAGGGUUAGGGUUAGGGUUGGAGCUAGGGUUAGGGUUAGGGUUAGGGUUGGAGUUAGUGUUUGUGUUGGAGCUAGGGUUAGGGUUGGGCUUGGAGCUAGGAUUUUUCUGAGUGCACUGAACCAACUCCCGAGUCUCUAGGACGUUCCUAAAAAAAUUUGAUUUCUUCCCAUAGGAAUGCAUGGGUUAGGGUUAGGGUUAGGGUUGGAGCUAGGGUUAGGGUUAGGGUUAGGGUUGGAGUUAGGGUUAGUGUUGGAGCUAGGGUUAGGGUUGGGCUUGGAGCUAGGAUUUUUCUGAGUGCACUGAACCAACUCCCGAAUCUCUAGGACGUUCCUAAAAAAAUUUGAUUUCUUCCCAUAGGAAUGCAUGGGUUAGGGUUAGGGUUAGGGUUGGAGCUAGGGUUAGGGUUAGGGUUAGGGUUGGAGUUAGGGUUAGUGUUGGAGCUAGGGUUAGGGUUGGGCUUGGAGCUAGGAUUUUUCUGAGUGCACUGAACCAACUCCCGAGUCUCUAGGACGUUCCUAAAAAAAUUUGAUUUUUUCCCAUAGGAAUGCAUGGGUUAGGGUUAGGGUUAGGGUUGGAGCUAGGGUUAGGGUUAGGGUUAGGGUUGGAGUUAGGGUUAGUGUUGGAGCUAGGGUUAGGGUUAGGCUUGGAGCUAGGAUUUUUCUGAGUGCACUGAACCAACUCCCGAGUCUCUAGGACGUUCCUAAAAAAAUUUGAUUUUUUCCCAUAGGAAUGCAUGGGUUAGGGUUAGGGUUAGGGUUGGAGCUAGGGUUAGGGUUAGGGUUAGGGUUGGAGUUAGGGUUUGUGUUGGAGCUAGGGUUAGGGUUGGGCUUGGAGCUAGGAUUUUUCUGAGUGCACUGAACCAACUCCCGAGUCUCUAGGACGUUCCUAAAAAAAUUUGAUUUCUUCCCAUAGGAAUGCAUGGGUUAGGGUUAGGGUUAGGGUUGGAGCUAGGGUUAGGGUUAGGGUUAGGGUUGGAGUUAGGGUUAGUGUUGGAGCUAGGGUUAGGGUUGGGCUUGGAGCUAGGAUUUUUCUGAGUGCACUGAACCAACUCCCGAGUCUCUAGGACGUUCCUAAAAAAAUUUGAUUUCUUCCCAUGGGAAUGCAUGGGUUAGGGUUAGGGUUAGGGUUGGAGCUAGGGUUAGGGUUAGGGUUAGGGUUGGAGUUAGGGUUAGUGUUGGAGCUAGGGUUAGGGUUGGGCUUGGAGCUAGAAUUUUUCUGAGUGCAAUGAACCAACUCCCGAGUCUCUAGGACGUUCCUAAAAAAAUUUGAUUUUUUCCCAUGGGAAUGCAUGGGUUAGGGUUAGGGUUGGAGCUAGGGUUAGGGUUAGGGUUAGGGUUGGAGUUAGGGUUAGUGUUGGAGCUAGGGUUAGGGUUGGGCUUGGAGCUAGGAUUUUUCUGAGUGCACUGAACCAACUCCCGAGUCUCUAGGACGUUCCUAAAAAAAUUUGAUUUCUUCCCAUAGGAAUGCAUGGGUUAGGGUUAGGGUUAGGGUUGGAGCUAGGGUUAGGGUUAGGGUUAGGGUUGGAGUUAGGGUUAGUGUUGGAGCUAGGGUUAGGGUUGGGCUUGGAGCUAGGAUUUUUCUGAGUGCACUGAACCAACUCCCGAGUCUCUAGGACGUUCCUAAAAAAAUUUGAUUUUUUUCCCAUAGGAAUGCAUGGGUUAGGGUUAGGGUUAGGGUUGGAGCUAGGGUUAGGGUUAGGGUUAGGGUUGGAGUUAGGGUUAGUGUUGGAGCUAGGGUUAGGGUUGGGCUUGGAGCUAGUAUUUUUCUGAGUGCACUGAACCAACUCCCGAGUUUCUAGGACGUUCCUAAAAAAAUUUGAUUUUUUCCCAUAGGAAUGCAUGGGUUAGGGUUAGGGUUAGGGUUGGAGCUAGGGUUAGGGUUAGGGUUAGGGUUGGAGUUAGGGUUAGUGUUGGAGCUAGGGUUAGGGUUGGGCUUGGAGCUACGAUUUUUCUGAGUGCAAUGAACCAACUCCCGAGUCUCUAGGACGUUCCUAAAGAAAUUUGAUUUUUUCCCAUGGGAAUGCAUGGGUUAGGGUUAGGGUUAGGGUUGGAGCUAGGGUUAGGGUUAGGGUUAGGGUUGGAGUUAGGGUUAGUGUUGGAGCUAGGGUUAGGGUUGGGCUUGGAGCUAGGAUUUUUCUGAGUGCACUGAACCAACUCCCGAGUCUCUAGGACGUUCCUAAAAAAAUUUGAUUUCUUCCCAUAGGAAUGCAUGGGUUAGGGUUAGGGUUAGGGUUGGAGCUAGGGUUAGGGUUAGGGUUAGGGUUGGAGUUAGGGUUAGUGUUGGAGCUAGGGUUAGGGUUGGGCUUGGAGCUAGGAUUUUUCUGAGUGCACUGAACCAACUCCCGAGUCUCUAGGACGUUCCUAAAAAAAUUUGAUUUUUCCCAUAGGAAUGCAUGGGUUAGGGUUAGGGUUAGGGUUGGAGCUAGGGUUAGGGUUAGGGUUAGGGUUGGAGUUAGGGUUAGUGUUGGAGCUAGGGUUAGGGUUGGGCUUGGAGCUAGGAUUUUUCUGAGUGCACUGAACCAACUCCCGAGUCUCUAGGACGUUCCUAAAAAAAUUUGAUUUUUUCCCAUAGGAAUGCAUGGGUUAGGGUUAGGGUUAGGGUUGGAGCUAGGGUUAGGGUUAGGGUUAGGGUUGGAGUUAGGGUUAGUGUUGGAGCUAGGGUUAGGGUUGGGCUUGGAGCUAGGAUUUUUCUGAGUGCACUGAACCAACUCCCGAGUCUCUAGGAGUUCCUAAAAAAAUUUGAUUUUUUCCCAUAGGAAUGCAUGGGUUAGGGUUAGGGUUAGGGUUGGAGCUAGGGUUAGGGUUAGGGUUAGGGUUGGAGUUAGGGUUAGUGUUGGAGCUAGGGUUAGGGUUGGGCUUGGAGCUAGGAUUUUUCUGAGUGCACUGAACCAACUCCCGAGUCUCUAGGACGUUCCUAAAAAAAUUUGAUUUUUUCCCAUGGGAAUGCAUGGGUUAGGGUUAGGGUUAGGGUUGGAGCUAGGGUUAGGGUUAGGGUUAGGGUUGGAGUUAGGGUUAGUGUUGGAGCUAGGGUUAGGGUUGGGCUUGGAGCUAGGAUUUUUCUGAGUGCACUGAACCAACUCCCGAGUCUCUAGGACGUUCCUAAAAAAAUUUGAUUUUUCCCAUAGGAAUGCAUGGGUUAGGGUUAGGGUUAGGGUUGGAGCUAGGGUUAGGGUUAGGGUUAGGGUUGGAGUUAGGGUUAGUGUUGGAGCUAGGGUUAGGGUUGGGCUUGGAGCUAGGAUUUUUCUGAGUGCACUGAACCAACUCCCGAGUCUCUAGGACGUUCCUAAAAAAAUUUGAUUUCUUCCCAUAGGAAUGCAUGGGUUAGGGUUAGGGUUAGGGUUGGAGCUAGGGUUAGGGUUAGGGUUAGGGUUGGAGUUAGGGUUAGUGUUGGAGCUAGGGUUAGGGUUGGGCUUGGAGCUAGGAUUUUUCUGAGUGCACUGAACCAACUCCCGAGUCUCUAGGACGUUCCUAAAAAAAUUUGAUUUUUUCCCAUAGGAAUGCAUGGGUUAGGGUUAGGGUUAGGGUUAGGGUUGGAGUUAGGGUUAGUGUUGGAGCUAGGGUUAGGGUUGGGCUUGGAGCUAGGAUUUUUCUGAGUGCACUGAACCAACUCCAGAGUCUGUAGGAUGUUCCUAAAAAAAUUUGAUUUUUUCCCAUAGGAAUGCAUGGGUUAGGGUUAGGGUUAGGGUUGGAGCUAGGGUUAGGGUUAGGGUUAGGGUUGGAGUUAGGGUUAGUGUUGGAGCUAGGGUUAGGGUUGGGCUUGGAGCUAGGGUUUUUCUGAGUGCACUGAACCAACUCCCGAGUCUGUAGGAUGUUCCUAAAAAAAUUUGAUUUUUUCCCAUAGGAAUGCAUGGGUUAGGGUUAGGGUUAGGGUUAGGGUUGGAGCUAGGGUUAGGGUUAGGGUUAGGGUUGGAGUUAGGGUUAGUGUUGGAGCUAGGGUGAGCGUUGGGCUUGGAGCUAGGAUUUUUCUGAGUGCAAUGAACCAACUCCCGAGUCUCUAGGACGUUCCUAAAAAAAUCUGAUUUUUUCCCAUGGGAAUGCAUGGGUUAGGGUUAGGGUUAGGGUUGGAGCUAGGGUUAGGGUUAGGGUUAGGGUUGGAGUUAGGGUUAGUGUUGGAGCUAGGGUUAGGGUUGGGCUUGGAGCUAGGAUUUUUCUGAGUGCACUGAACCAACUCCCGAGUCUGUAGGAUGUUCCUAAAAAAAUUUGAUUUUUUCCCAUAGGAAUGCAUGGGUUAGGGUUAGGGUUAGGGUUAGGGUUGGAGCUAGGGUUAGGGUUAGGGUUAGGGUUGGAGUUAGGGUUAGUGUUGGAUCUAGGGUUAGGGUUGGGCUUGGAGCUAGGAUUUUUCUGAGUGCAAUGAACCAACUCCCGAGUCUCUAGGACGUUCCUAAAAAAAAUUGAUUUUUUCCCAUAGGAAUUCAUGGGUUAGGGUUAGGGUUAGGGUUGGAGCAAGGGUUAGGGUUAGGGUUAGGGUUGGAGUUAGGGUUAGUGUUGGAGCUAGGGUUAGGGUUGUGCUUGGAGCUAGGAUUUUUCUGAGUGCACUGAACCAACUCCCGAGUCUCUAGGACGUUCCUAAAAAAAUUUGAUUUUUUCCCAUAGGAAUGCAUGGGUUAGGGUUAGGGUUAGGGUUGGAGCUAGGGUUAGGGUUAGGGUUAGGGUUGGAGUUAGGGUUAGUGUUGGAGCUAGGGUUAGGGUUGGGCUUGGAGCUAGGAUUUUUCUGAGUGCACUGAACCAACUCCCGAGUCUCUAGGACGUUCCUAAAAAAAUUUGAUUUUUUCCCAUAGGAAUGCAUGGGUUAGGGUUAGGGUUAGGGUUGGAGCUAGGGUUAGGGUUAGGGUUAGGGUUGGAGUUAGGGUUAGUGUUUUAGCUAGGGUUAGGGUUGGGCUUGGAGCUAGGAUUUUUCUGAGUGCAAUGAACCAACUCCCGAGUCUCUAGGACGUUCCUAAAAAAAUUUGAUUUUUUCCCAUGGGAAUGCAUGGGUUAGGGUUAGGGUUAGGGUUGGAGCUAGGGUUAGGGUUAGGGUUAGGGUUGGAGUUAGGGUUAGUGUUGGAGCUAGGGUUAGGGUUGGGCUUGGAGCUAGGAUUUUUCUGAGUGCACUGAACCAACUCCCGAGUCUCUAGGACGUUCCUAAAAAAAUUUGAUUUCUUCCCAUAGGAAUGCAUGGGUUAGGGUUAGGGUUAGGGUUGGAGCUAGGGUUAGGGUUAGGGUUAGGGUUGGAGUUAGGGUUAGUGUUGGAGCUAGGGUUAGGGUUGGGCUUGGAGCUAGGAUUUUUCUGAGUGCACUGAACCAACUCCAGAGUCUGUAGGAUGUUCCUAAAAAAAUUUGAUUUUUUCCCAUAGGAAUGCAUGGGUUAGGGUUAGGGUUAGGGUUGGAGCUAGGGUUAGGGUUAGGGUUAGGGUUGGAGUUAGGGUUAGUGUUGGAGCUAGGGUUAGGGUUGGGCUUGGAGCUAGGAUUUUUCUGAGUGCAAUGAACCAACUCCCGAGUCUCUAGGACGUUCCUAAAAAAAUUUGAUUUUUUCCCAUGGGAAUGCAUGGGUUAGGGUUAGGGUUGGAGCUAGGGUUAGGGUUAGGGUUAGGGUUGGAGUUAGGGUUAGUGUUGGAGCUAGGGUUAGGGUUGGGCUUGGAGCUAGGAUUUUUCUGAGUGCACUGAACCAACUCCCGAGUCUCUAGGACGUUCCUAAAAAAAUUUGAUUUUUUCCCAUGGGAAUGCAUGGGUUAGGGUUAGGGUUGGAGCUAGGGUUAGGGUUAGGGUUAGGGUUGGAGUUAGGGUUAGUGUUGGAGCUAGGGUUAGGGUUGGGCUUGGAGCUAGGAUUUUUCUGAGUGCACUGAACCAACUCCCGAGUCUCUAGGACGUUCCUAAAAAAAUUUGAUUUUUCCCAUAGGAAUGCAUGGGUUAGGGUUAGGGUUAGGGUUGGAGCUAGGGUUAGGGUUAGGGUUAGGGUUGGAGUUAGGGUUAGUGUUGGAGCUAGGGUUAGGGUUGGGCUUGGAGCUAGGAUUUUUCUGAGUGCACUGAACCAACUCCCGAGUCUCUAGGACGUUCCUAAAAAAAAUUUGAUUUUUUCCCAUAGGAAUGCAUGGGUUAGGGUUAGGGUUAGGGUUGGAGCUAGGGUUAGGGUUAGGGUUAGGGUUGGAGUUAGGGUUAGUGUUGGAGCUAGGGUUAGGGUUGGGCUUGGAGCUAGGAUUUUUCUGAGUGCACUGAACCAACUCCCGAGUUUCUAGGACGUUCCUAAAAAAAUUUGAUUUUUUCCCAUAGGAAUGCAUGGGUUAGGGUUAGGGUUAGGGUUGGAGCUAGGGUUAGGGUUAGGGUUAGGGUUGGAGUUAGGGUUAGUGUUGGAGCUAGGGUUAGGGUUGGGCUUGGAGCUAGGAUUUUUCUGAGUGCACUGAACCAACUCCCGAGUCUCUAGGACGUUCCUAAAAAAAUUUGAUUUUUUCCCAUAGGAAUGCAUGGGUUAGGGUUAGGGUUAGGGUUGGAGCUAGGGUUAGGGUUAGGGUUAGGGUUGGAGUUAGGGUUAGUGUUGGAGCUAGGGUUAGGGUUGGGCUUGGAGCUAGGAUUUUUCUGAGUGCACUGAACCAACUCCCGAGUCUCUAGGACGUUCCUAAAAAAAUUUGAUUUUUU
rnacentral:lncRNA from 1 species